UUGUAGGCUGCAACUCGCCUACAUGAAGUUGGAAUCGCUAGUAAUCGCGAAUCAGAAUGUCGCGGUGAAUACGUUCCCGGGUCUUGUACACACCGCCCGUCACACCACGAGAGUUUACAACACCCGAAGUCAGUGGCCUAACCGCAAGGAGGGAGCUGCCUAAGGUGGGGUAGAUGAUUGGGGUGAAGUCGUAACAAGGUAAC
rnacentral:rRNA from 1 species